GAAAAAUUAUGUUUGCAUGUCAGGUCCAAACUUUUGGCGGCCUAGGUGAUAGUAACCAAGGAUCCAAGUCUGGUAUGCUUCCGAUUAACUGUUGAGUUGUCCUUCAACUAACAAUAGGGUUUGUGGUACUCAUGUUUCCCUCCUUGAUUACUAGGUAUAACUGUCUUUUUCAACCCGAACUCUGGCUUUGUUUAGGAGGGGUUUAUGGUCCAUCAUUCUGUACAUGCAGGACUCCUUGAAGGAGGAUUCAACAUAAUCUGCACAUGACUUGUGAAUGUAUCACUAGAUUUGUUGUACAUAUGUAUUUAAGCCUGUUUUGCAAAAUGCAGGGCAGGAAGAGUCAUUGUAGAGUUGUGGGAGAGGUGUAACUUUAACUUAGGUGGUGUCAAAAAUUUUCCCUGCAAAGUUUUUAUAAUUUAUUUUAUGAUAUCCCGUACAGAAUUUAGAUCAGUAUAUAUAUAAAUUUCAGUGAAUAUUUCCUGGAAUUGUUCUUAAUAGAGGAAAACUUCUCUGCCAACUCAACUGUAUUCUCUCAUUCCAUGUUUUACUUUGAUAUAUUUGAUAUGCCAAGUGCCAACACAAGCCAGCCCAUGGCCUGUUAGGUGGUUGCC
rnacentral:lncRNA from 1 species